rnacentral:rRNA from 1 species
GAGUGAUGAAGGCCUUCGGGUCGUAAAACUCUGUCCUCAAGGAAGAUAAUGACGGUACUUGAGGAGGAAGCCCCGGCUAACUACGUGCCAGCAGCCGCGGUAAUACGUAGGGGGCUAGCGUUAUCCGGAUUUACUGGGCGUAAAGGGUGCGUAGGCGGUCUUUCAAGUCAGGAGUGAAAGGCUACGGCUCAACCGUAGUAAGCUCUUGAAACUGGGAGACUUGAGUGCAGGAGAGGAGAGUGGAAUUCCUAGUGUAGCGGUGAAAUGCGUAGAUAUUAGGAGGAACACCAGUUGCGAAGG